UACGAAGGACCCGAGCGUUAUCCGGAUUUAUUGGGUUUAAAGGGUGCGUAGGUGGAUUAUUAAGUCAGUGGUGAAAUCCUGCAGCUUAACUGUAGAACUGCCAUUGAUACUGAUAGUCUUGAGUACAUUUGAAGCGGGCGGAAUGUGUCAUGUAGCGGUGAAAUGCUUAGAGAUGACACAGAACACCGAUUGCGAAGGCAGCUCGCUAAACUGUAACUGACACUGAGGCACGAAAGCGUGGGGAUCAAACAGG
rnacentral:rRNA from 1 species